GUGCGGAAGUCCUCCCUUUUUGUUUAUAUGUGGGAGGCAUGACAUUAGUAAUGUAAUUCUUUCAGCACCAUAUAAGUGUCUUGUUAGAAAAUAGUCAGGGCUACACAAAAUUGCAGCUUGCCUACUUAUCUUUCCAAAGUCUUUCAUCCUCUGGGUUGUGUUGCCUAAGAACUUCAUAACUGAUACUCAAAGUCCUUUGCUGUAUUACAAAACACACCAUCACUGAAGAAAGUCCCACUAUUGAAAUUCAUUUUCCAUUCAGUAUUGAGCUUGUUGUGCACAGAGAACUGGAAGUUGGAAUAAGUUGGAGAGAGAAAAAAAACAAAUUUAAAGUAACGCAACUUGUUGUUUAAUAACGCCCGCAAAAGAUCAACUAGUGCAGGUCCUGUUAAAUUACAUCAAAGGUUUUCAGAUAAGGGCCUCGAUAAUAUUGUUGAAUAAGUUUUCCAAAUGAUUUAAUAUUUUUGGAAAAACUUUUUAAAUGAUUU